AACGAACGCUGGCGCCAGGCUUAACACAUGCAAGUCGCACGAAGGUUUCGGCCUUAGUGGCCGACGGGUGAGUAACGCGUAGGAAACUAUCCAUGGGUGGGGGACAACACUGGGAAACACGUGCGAAUACAGCAUCAUACCGGACGGUCAAAGGCGCGGGUAGCCUGUGGAGGAGCCUGCGUUCGAUUAGCUAGUUGGUGGGGUAAAGGCCUACCCAGGCGAUGAUCGAUAGCUGGUUUGAGAGGAUGAUCAGCCACACUGAGACUGAGACACGGCCCAGACACCUACGGGAGGCAGCAGUGGGGAAUAUUGGACAAUGGGGGCAACCCUGAGCCAGCAAUGCCGCGUGUGUGAAGAAGGUCUUCGGAUUGUAAAGCACUUUCGACGGGGACGAUGAUGACGGUACCCGUAGAAGAAGCCCCGGCUAACUUCGUGCCAGCCGCCGCAGUAA
rnacentral:rRNA from 1 species